rnacentral:rRNA from 1 species
UACGAACCGUCCUAACGUUGUUCGGAAUCACUGGGCUUAAAGGGCGCGUAGGCGGGCGAGCAAGUCUAGGGUGAAAUCUUUCGGCUUAACCGGAAAAUAGCCUUGGAUACUGCUGGUCUCGAGGGAGGUAGGGGUCGUUGGAACUUCCGGUGGAGCGGUGAAAUGCGUUGAUAUCGGAAGGAGCGCCGGUGGCGAAAGCGAACGACUGGACCUUUUCUGACGCUGAGGCGCGAAAGCCAGGGGAGCAAACGGGG